CCACAGAUCACCCGAGGAUCUUGUUAAAAUGUAGAUUCUGACUCAGUAGGACUGGGCCGGACCUGAGACUCUGCAUUUCUAACAAGCCCCCGAGUGAUGCCCAG
rnacentral:pre_miRNA from 1 species